rnacentral:rRNA from 1 species
UUCGAGUGGCGGACGGGUGAGUAACGCGUGGGUAACCUGCCUUACACAGGGGGAUAACACCUGGAAACAGGUGCUAAUACCGCAUAAGCGCACAGGGCCGCAUGGCCCGGUGUGAAAAACUCCGGUGGUGUAAGAUGGACCCGCGUCUGAUUAGCUUGUUGGCGGGGUAGGGGCCCGCCAAGGCGACGAUCAGUAGCCGGCCUGAGAGGGUGGACGGCCACAUUGGGACUGAGACACGGCCCAAACUCCUACGGAAGGCAGCAG